rnacentral:tRNA from 1 species
AAUAGAGAAGCGAUUUCGCACCCAGUUUCGACCUGGUUAUAGGCUAUGCCCCUAUUU